ensembl:lncRNA
UUCUUGAACCUCGUAUUAGACAUAGAAGCUGGUUUAAGUUUGCUUGGAAGUAAAUCAGAAUUCAAACUUUAUAGAUGAACACCACUUCAGUGGUCAGUCUGAAAAAAACAGACUCUUUUUCUAACGUUAUUGCCAACAGAUUUUUGUUGAACUUUCUAAAGUUAUGAUUUCAUUUCUUUACAUCAGGCUCAAGACCUUAUGCAUACAGUAGGGCAUUCAAUCCUUUCACCAGCCUGAAUUUUUGCUGCAAGUUGCCUUUCAGCUGAGAUGGCUUUUGGCAAAUAACUUGUCACCUAGAGAAGUCUAUGGUAAUGCUGAUGAAUUACCAGCUUAUUACAGAGUCUCCACUGGCAGAGGCCAAGUCACUCAUACCAGUUUUGUAGCAAUGCCGAUGUAUCAUUGCUGCACUUAGAAGAGCUAAUUGGAAACUGUGUCCCGAUGGCUUCCAGAGAACAAGUGCAGAACAGAAAAGGAGAUCACUGAAAGCAUCAAUCUUUAUUCCAGUCAAAGAUGCCUCAAAAGACAGCUUUAUUUACAAAAGUCACAGAUCAGUGCAACAAGAUUUGCAUACAGGAAUCUAGGACGGAAUUUGAGCUGAGAGCCACAGGGUCAGCCCCACUGACAUGUCCACAAAUCCCAGGGUUUCAGAUUUGAUCCCUGUAUGGGUUGUUCACUUAAGAGCUGGACUUGAUAGUCCUAGAGGAUUCCCUCUAUCUCAGAAUAUUCUGUGAUUUUGUGAUUUGCUGCUGCUUCGUCUAUCUCGAAAGGUAUAUAAGGCAUAUAUUGUCAUAAAGGACUUACAGCCUGUUUCUUUUCCCUAGUCUUGUAUUCUGUUGUGGCUCACAAAGACAUCACUAUCCUUUCCUGAAGGCCAGCAAAAUCAGUUGUCUUGGUCAAAAGUGUACACAGUUGUCUCUCAGUGUAGCCUGGUCAGAAAAGCAGUCUGGUUAAUUAACAUUGAUUACAAUCCACCAUCUGCAAGUAAAAAUUGAUUGCUAAGGUUCCUAAUAUGAAUGCGCCUCUGUCUUGAUUUCAAUAUUUCUGUGAAUUUCUAAUGACAGAAACAGGGACAGAGACUGAAUCCACUUCUUAAAGGUCCCAGUUAUUUGCAAUCUCCCCUGAGAAAGACAUUGGUGAUUCUUCUGGUCCUACAUUAUCACCCCAUGGGAAGGUCAUUUGUUAGCGCAGCAUCUAAUUGCUGGAAAUUGUCAGUGAGCACAUUUGGACCCUGUUCAAUGCUCCAUUUUUUAUUGAGAGAGGAGCAAUGGUAUUGAUUUUGGAUAGUCAGGGAGAAUGCCAGGGAUAUUAGUAAGGAGCUCAGAGAACACAACACAUAAACUUUUAUGACAUGAUGUCAAACUGGAUUGCGCAGGCAUAAAUGAAAAGGACAACAUCUUCUGUAAUUACUGCAAACAUGUGCCAUAUAUCUAUGAGAAAAAGGGUACAUUUCAAUGAAAAAGAGACCUUGCAAAAAGUGACAUCUCAGAAAAUUUGUCUGACCAAAAGGGAAAAGGGAUAAUAUUUUUAUGCGUACCUUUUGAAAUGACAAUGCACAGUGCAGGAGCUGUACUUCUUUUGCCAUUGCAGUGUGACUGAAACCUACUCUGUUAGACUGGUGACCUGUUCCCACCAUGCUUUAAGUCUGGAUAUGUAAAAUUCCAUGCAGUCCCAGUUCUAGUUAAAUGGAUGACAGUGUGAAAUGCAGCACAUCCACUGGUAACUCUGCUGAGUGAACUUUGUCCUGGUUCUUCACAUCAAAAGCCACUUCAUCUACAUAAGCAUGAAACUGCAUACCCCCAAAGAAGAACCAGUAGCCACUUACACUGCUGUAGUGUACAGUUACCAUUGCACUGAAGUUUAAAGUAAAUAGCAAUUUAGCCAGCUAAGCUAAAACCUUUAAUAAUCUUCAAGCACAUAAUCACAGGUGAGCUGUUCCAUGUUAGCCCAUGACUUCACUCACUCCUGAUACACAACUUUUCUGUAAAGUGGCUGCAUAACAGUUGUAAAUAAUUCGUGCAAAUCAAUGCUAGAGACAUUAAUCAGAAGUUUUUUCUCCAUGUGUCUGCUGCCAUCCUUGACUUCUCACUCUCUUUUCGUGGUGAUUGUGAAAGUCAGCAUGAGUACUUGUUUAGUAUAGGAUUAACACCCAUGAAAUGCUGUUAGCCCAAAUUUAAGAAAACCUAGUACUCUAAUGAGCACAAACUCAAACACAGGUGCCCACGGAUGUUGUGGAGUCUGUAUCCUUGGAGAUAUGGCUUGGGCAACCAGCUCUGGAUGUCCUUUGCUAGAGCAGGUUGAUUGGACCAGAUGACCUCCAGAGGCCCCUUCCAACCUCAGUCACUUGGUCAGUUGCAAUUCUGUGAGGCAAUACGAGUAGAAACAUCUUUGAAGCUAUUGUGAAAUUAUUUUUCUACUUACGAGGUUGUUUUUUUAUUUAUUUGAAUUUUUAGUGCCCUGAAUUCACUGAGUAGAAAUUUUGAAGGUAUCCAUGACUGCUGGAUUUAAUUUUUGUAGUCUUCAGGCAAUAAGAAAGGUACAGGAGCUCCCAGAGGAGCUGCCCCACUGAUUGUCGAGACCUUCCCCCAUCUUUGAAAUACAGCUUUAAACUCAGAACAACAGUAGGUGAAUGGCAACGAAUAAAUGAUGUCAACAAUUUGUGUGGAGGCCA